AAUACAGGAUGUGCAGUUAAAUUAGAAUUUUAGAUUAAAAAAAAUUUUUUAGUAUAAGUAUGUCCCAUGCAAUAUUUGGGACACACUUAUACUAAAAAGUUAUGGGUUGUUAUCUGAAAUUCAUAUUUAAGUGGGUGUCCUGUAAUUU
rnacentral:miRNA from 1 species